rnacentral:rRNA from 1 species
AACGAACGCUGGCGGCAGGCCUAACACAUGCAAGUCGAGCGAAGCCUUCGGGCUUAGCGGCGGACGGGUGAGUAACGCGUGGGAACGUGCCCUUUGGUACGGAAUAGCCCCGGGAAACUGGGAGUAAUACCGUAUGUGGUCGAGAGACGAAAGAUUUAUCGCCAAAGGAUCGGCCCGCGUUGGAUUAGGUAGUUGGUGGGGUAAUGGCCUACCAAGCCGACGAUCCAUAGCUGGUUUGAGAGGAUGAUCAGCCACACUGGGACUGAGACACGGCCCAGACUCCUACGGGAGGCAGCAGUGGGGAAUCUUAGACAAUGGGGGAAACCCUGAUCUAGCCAUGCCGCGUGAUCGAUGAAGGCCUUAGAGUUGUAAAGAUCUUUCAGUGGGGAAGAUAAUGACUGUACCCACAGAAGAAGCCCCGGCUAACUCCGUGCCAGCCGCCGCCGUAAGAC